CGGAGGAUAGGCUAGUGGCUAUACCGCCAGCUUUGGGAGCUGGAUGUCGGGGGUUCAAAUCCCCCUCCUCCGA
rnacentral:tRNA from 2 species